CCUACGGGGGGCAGCAGUGGGGAAUAUGGCACAAUGGGCGAAAGCCUGGUGCGGCGACGCCGCGUGAGGGAAGAAGGCCUUCGGGUCGUAAACCUCUGUCCUAUGGGAAGGAGAAUGACGGUACCAUAGGAGGAAGCCCCGGCUAACUACGUGCCAGCAGCCGCGGUAAUACGUAGGGGGCGAGCGUUGUCCGGAAUGACUGGGCGUAAAGGGUACGUAGGCGGCUAGAUAAGUAAUAUGUGAAAGGCAUAGGCUUUACCUGCGUAAGCAUUUGAAACUGUCUAGCUGGCGUCAAGGAGAGGAAAGUGGAAUCCCUGGUGUAACGGUGAAAUGCGUAGAUGUCCGGAGGAAUACCAGUUGCGACGGUGUCUCUCUCGUCUUAGACUGACGCUGCGGUACCAAAGCGGGUGGCGCAAGCCGGAUUAGAUACCCGUGUAAUC
rnacentral:rRNA from 1 species